GAGUUACUUCCUUUAUUUAGCUGCCGAAGGAAAAAGGUGAAGUUCAUUUUUUAUUCUGGAGAGUAAAAUUAGGGCUUGAUUUGGAUUUUCAUUGAGCCUAUAAGAGGGGAUUUUUUCCUUUAUUCAAAUUGUUCAUGUAACUUGACUCUUUGAGGUUUCUAAUGAUUGUUUUGCUUCCGUAAUAGUGCUUAUCGUAGCGACUUUUAUAAUUCAAUUGAUUGCUUUUCCACGGGUUUCAUGGAUUCUGCCGCAGCAUUUUCUGCUCAGCCGCUUCAAUUUGAUUUAUGAUUGUAUUUACCUGUCUACCGAAUUCAUGGUUUUAGAAAAAUGUUUGGAUUUAUUCAGCCCUCAAAUCGAACCCAAGCAUUCGUUUCUCUGUCGUUUUUGUUCCUCUGCAUUUCCUUCUAAUCUCUCGUUUCUAAACUGGGUUAAGGACAAGAAAGGUUUGGUUCUUCAUUCCCCUCCCCCCUACAAAGCCGAUUUCAUUAGGAGAGACAUGGCUUAAGUUAUUAAUUGGUUUUAUGAAUACGGGUUGAGGAAGUUGAAUAGAAAUUGUUGUUAGCAAGGACUUUUUAUUUAUGGUAUUACUUUGCCCAACCACCGUGAUCUCAAAAUUUCACUGAUUCUCUCAGGGAAAAACAGGUAGAGUGGGUUUUAUUUCAUUGAUAUUUCUAUUCUGAUUAUUUUGAGACAGAUGCGGAUGAUUUUUCUGCCUUUUGAUCCGCUGAACGCAUUGUUUGUGAUGAUAUAUUGGCAUUGAAAAACUUUGAUUCGCUGGAAAGAUUCAAACCUUCGUUUUAUUGUUUUUUUUUUCUUUUUUUCCUUAAAAAUUGACAGAGGCACUGGCAUAAUUUGCAUUUCCCGUAAGUAGUGAAACAUAAAUGUCAUAAUCAUGCUUUUUCUUUCUAGUUCAAAUAAAAUUGGGUCUUAGUUGGUAGGUUUGGUAGAGUUUCAGAAGACGAUGAUAAUAUAGGAAACACCACUUCCAUUGCUUAGUACAAAGGUCAAGACAAAUAUGUCGUUUAACAAAUUCAUUUGAGAGGUAAGUAGGCGGAUAAAGUAUGUUGCGUUGAUGGUGUGCAUAACUGAUAAAGAAGAUGUGGUCUUGCACAUAAAGUGGCAGCCACUAAUGUGAUUUGCUUCUUACAAGUUGAGUGUGUGGAUUGUUAAAAAAUUUUGCGCGAUGGAGUACCCAACAAUGAGAUUAGUUGCAUGCCAAUUAUUAACUUUUUAGAAGAACGGAGACAACUUGAGCCUUUUUUUCCACCAUUUACGGGAAUCCCGAUGUUGCAAGAAGGCUUUUCAAGAUGUUGGAGAGGCUGAAUUUUGGUCUACAUUUUUCGAGAUCGAAUAGCUAGGUUCAGAGGUAUGAAAGGACUGUGAUAAGGGUUGGUCUGAUAUGCAACUUAAGGAUAAAGUGAUGGAACUCUACUUCUUCCAUGGUUUUUCACCUGUAUCUCAAACAAUGGCAAGUGCUCGACCAUCAAUACUUGCGGCUGAAAGCACCAUCAAACGGCUGUUCAAAGUUUAAUUGUCAAUUAAAAUAUGAUUAGCUUUUUGUUGCAGUGUAUGUAUUGAUUACAUUGGCCUGUAAAUUAAUGAACAUCAAUUUAUUUAUAUUGCCAUUUGUAUUUGACCAUUUUACUUAUCCUAUUUGUCAAUGGACAUCUUACUAGCAUCUAGGUUAUAGUCCUCUAUUAUUCUAUGUUAGUUCUCACUCAACAGUUAUUUUUGUUUUGUGAUGUACUUGUGACUUGUC